GACGAACGCUGGCGGCGUGCCUAAUACAUGCAAGUAGAACGCUGAAGGAGGAGCUUGCUUCUCUGGAUGAGUUGCGAACGGGUGAGUAACGCGUAGGUAACCUGCCUGGUAGUGGGGGAUAACUAUUGGAAACGAUAGCUAAUACCGCAUAAUAGCAGUUGUUGCAUGAUAACUGUUUGAAAGGUGCAAUUGCACCGCUACCAGAUGGACCUGCGUUGUAUUAGCUAGUUGGUGGGGUAACGGCUCACCAAGGCGACGAUACAUAGCCGACCUGAGAGGGGGAACGGCCACACUGGGACUGAGACACCGGCCAAACUCCUUCGGGAGGCAGCAGUAGGGAAUCUUCGGAAAUGGACGGAAGUCUGACCGAGCAAAGCCGCGUGAGUGAAGGAGGUUUUCGGAUCGUAAAGCUCUGUUGUAAGGGAAGAACGAGUGUGAGAGUAGAAAGUUCACACUGUGACGGUAUCUUAACAGAAAGAGACGGCUAACUACGUG
rnacentral:rRNA from 1 species